AAUGUUCUGCUAAGCAGACGCCAUCAUCUGCCAAUCCUCGCAGCGCUCCGCGUCCUCGAUCCCGCGGCCCCGCCUGUGAUUUCCGGAAAGAUUCCACCCGAAUCAUGCCUUAUCAGGAAGAAUGGGUCAGUUCAAAAAGAAAAAAACGGAUCGUAGCAAGCGCCGCCGCUCCUCCCGAUCGCCCUGAGUCGACCCCGCCUCCGGUCGCCGCCCACGCACCUGCAAGCCGCCGCCGACGUCCUUUGCCGGGCUCCACCGGACCGUCCCGCGCGACUGCCGGCCUCCUCCCGACCAGACCAACGAUGGCGACGACCGGAUCUGACCGGCCCCCUCCGUUUCCGCCUCGCCUAGCCGCACCACUCAUCCGCCCCACAUCUCCCAGCCAGCCCACCGCCCCCUCCCUGUCGAGCCCCCUGGUGGUGGACGGUGACAUCUCACCUGGACUGGAUUGGAGAGUUGCAUCCAAUCAGGCCUCCCUCCUCUCCACUAAGUGCAUCUGAUUCUGAACACAGAGUUGUUCACGGUAAUUUUCAAUUCUCUGACACAAGCCAUUUGUGUGAGCGCUAAUUAACUUAUAUGGUAAGACUCUAUGGGAGGCUCCGACAAUAAAACUAUUUUAGAAUACACGGCAAUAUUUUACUAUAUGAAGUGAAAAUGUACAAGUUGUAGAUGGACAACUAUGGCAGCUCUUCUAUACAGUUAUUUACUGUCCAGCGAGGCCCUCAGAGGAUAUCUAAAGAAGUGAGAAUGUACACCUUGUUUUUCUAGGCGAACAUGACUUGGAUGAGUCAAUAGCAUAGUAUCCAUAGUUAUCUAAAAAAGGAAGUGUCCCAGGCAACAAGAUAAAUUGUUCUGAUGUCCAAUGCAUUGAAGCUAUAAUGCAUAUAUGCUUAGUAAAUUGUUUAGAUUUGUCUGAGACUAAUAAUGACCAACUUAGUGAAUUGUUAAACCUAAAAUUUUGUGUUUUCCAUUUAACACAGUGAAUUGUUUGCACAAUUCAGUUCCGUGUUGAUUGAAUGGACGUGACAUGAUGUUUUCUCCAUGUAACGGACUGAAGUGGAUUGACAUGGUUUCUGUCCAUCAUGCAGUUAUGUGCUAUUCUUCCUUGCUGCAGUAUUGCGCAUCUUUGUUGUGACUCCAUGAAUAUGAAAGCUAUAUUUACUCCUAAGCUAUGAGUGUCCUCUAACUUCCUUCCAUGAGAGGUAUUUGCUCUCAGUCCCGGCCAUCCUUAUUACGAGGGAUGCAACAAGGUUCAAUGGAUCAUGACGUUUGGACUAGAUUUGAAUCUGUAUCUACCAAAUCUGUGCGUACAUUUUUAUGCUAUAAAUUUCUUUUUCUUUCAGUAUCCUAUUGAAGUUCUAUCGGCCAACAGGUGCAUUGCACUGUUGAGGAGACACAUGCAUUUGUAUUCGAUAUUGAAGCGAGCCUGACACCCUGAAAGAACUAUACAAUGAUAUUUGGCUAUUGCUUUCAGUAUUAGAGAAGCAUAGAAACAGAACUGCAGGGCUUACUGUAUUUUUAUGUGGCAGUCCUCUAUGCCAUCAUGCCAUACUGUUUAUUUUGAGCAACCUUUCUAUGGUAUUUUGUUGGACAAAUUUUAGUGUAAUCUCAAGCACCUCAAUAUAUGGUAAACAACUGCAUGCUUGGGUAUA